UAGUGUGGCUGUUGUGUGGGGGCAUAGUGAAAAUGCUAAGUCACAGCUUGAAGCAGUGAUGGAGCACCUGGUAGGAAGGCAAGGCCAGACCAGGGGAUCUCAGCUGUGUGCAAUGUACUGAAUGACCAGGAGGGCUGGAGCCAGCAUCCACCCCUUCUCAGACUUCAUUUAGAGGUUGGCAGUGGAGGUGAGGAUAUCUCGCUAGAGAUCCUUGCCUACCUGAGACCUUCCAAAGGAAUUUUUAAAAGCUGUGGAGGGGAGCUGUUAAUGGUAGCAGUGCUUGGCUGAGGCCUGAGGCACAGAGCAUUAUCUCUUGCUUGCUUGUUUCCUCUGCAUUGCAUGGACAGCCUGUCCCCACGGCUCCCUGUUCUGUCUCUGAAGGUCCCUUUGGGCUGAGAAAUUGUUUCCAAAGAUCUCCACAGAAUGCCUCGACA